rnacentral:rRNA from 1 species
UACGUAGGGCGCAAGCGUUGUCCGGAAUUAUUGGGCGUAAAGAGCUCGUAGGCGGUCUGUUACGUCCGCUGUGAAAACCCAGGGCUUAACCCUGGGCUUGCAGUGGAUACGGGUAGACUAGAGGCAGGUAGGGGAGAAUGGAAUUCCCGGUGUAGCGGUGAAAUGCGCAGAUAUCGGGAGGAACGACCGGUGGCGAAGGCGGUUCUCUGGGCCUGCCUGACGCUGAGGAGCGAAAGCGUGGGGAGCGAAACGG